GACGGGUGAGUAAUGCAUAGGAAUCUACCUAGUAGUAUGGGAUAGCCACUAGAAAUGGUGGGUAAUACUGUAUAAUCCCUGCGGGGGAAAGAUUUAUCGCUAUUAGAUGAGCCUAUGUUAGAUUAGCUAGUUGGUAGGGUAAAGGCCUACCAAGGCAGUGAUCUAUAGCUGGUCUGAGAGGAUGAUCAGCCACACUGGAACUGAGAUACGGUCCAGACUCCUACGGGAGGCAGCAGUGGGGAAUAUUGGACAAUGGGCGCAAGCCUGAUCCAGCUAUGCCGCGUGAGUGAGGAAGGCCUUAGGGUUGUAAAACUCUUUCAGUAGGGAAGAUAAUGACGGUACCUA
rnacentral:rRNA from 1 species